CAAAGGCAUAGUAUAAAUAGGAGCAAAGAUCUAAGAGAGUUAUUCUUAUUUGGAAGUUCUUAAGAGGGCGUGAAGAGUUGAGUUUCUACUAGGAGAAUCCUAGGCGAGGAGAAAUGCUCGUGGAAGGAAAGGUCCAAAAGCUUCGUCAUUAGGCGUUGAGACCAAGUAAGAGGAGGUAAGAUGAGUUAUGGUGCGGAAAAGCUGAUCAAAUUAUUCGUCUUCGAAUGGUUUAAAGUUAUUAUGUCCAAGGGAUGCUGCAGCACAGCUUUGUGCGUAGGUUGAGUCUUGUCUUGGAGAUGAAUUGAUAGGUGAGCAAGGAGAAGGAUAAGAAAGGGGUUCUUAUACUCUUAAACACCUUGGCGCAAAGAGUAGCAAUUUAGUGGGUGAAGGAAGACGUGGAGUUUAGGAUUUAGGUUUCAUCUAAGUGGCUUGCGAGGAAGAGAUGUAUUUGUAAAGUGUAACCAAAUAAUAAAAUUGGAGUGUGUUUUUCAUAUUA